UCUGCGUUGUGGUGUUGCGACGUGCACACAGUACACACAGCGCAACAACCGAAACAACAGUUUGCGUGCUGCCGGAGUGCCGUCAAUACCGAGAAUGCCAUCUUUUGUUGCUGUCUUCCGGUUCGACUGCAUCGUUGCAUCGCUAAAACAAACCGUCUUGAACCGAAACAAAACCGUUCGUCGCUCUACUACGAGACUCCCAUUCGAUAACCACUACUACUAUUACUACUCUUCCACCACUACCACCAACCGGUCACCGGAUGUUGUGAUCCACCUUCUUCGACUCUUCGUCUCAACUUUAGCCCGGGGGGCGGUAAUAUGCAUCGAAUUAAACGUCAAAAAAAUCCACCGUCGUGAGAAAAACGUCAUCAUCAGCCGUCAUCAUCUUAAACGAAUUCAUCGCGCUAUGCCAAAAAAAGAAUGGUCUUCCACAGUAGUUCUAUUGGCACGUUUCUUUAUUCGACUACAAACGACUGUCUUCUCGACUGUUCGUCGUUUCACUACCGACGUUUCGAUUUCAUCACUGCUACUACUAGUAUUACUGCUACUGCUACUGCUACUACUACUACUACUGCUACUACUACUACUACUACUACUAGUACCUAGUACUACUACUACUACUACUACUGCUACUGCUACUACUCCUACUCGUCGACCAUCAUUUAGGGACAUAUGUUAGCGACGAUGACAACUGAGCACGCGAAAAUUCCUGCCGAGAGAUCUUCUCGACCUUCGACUCUUUGAGAACAAAUUCACUAAAAGCAAAAUGAUCACCUACACACCACCUACCAACCAACCACAUGUUCACAGUUGUCUGAUCGAGGUCUCGCAGUCCCCGCAGAAGAUCAUUGACCCGAAGCCGCAGUCGCGAUCGCCGUUCACGUUCGGACUCUCGUGACAGACGUUAGAUGCUAAAAGUGCGAGAGGGAAAAAGGAAUGGGCCAAUUUUACAUGCCGAAGAAAAGAAGAUAAAAAGAUAAAAGAUAGAGCGAAUUUUUGUAUGUACAUAAUGAAAAUUGUUAAUUCAUUAUCUAUACAUCCAUACACACACGUGCUCAUGUUUGAAAUUACUAAAAAUAACUACGAUAAACAAAAACAAAACCAAAAACAUUCAACAAAUUAUGUGAAUUAUGUUUAUUGUACAAAGUGUAUUCUUCUCGUAAGUUCCAUAUAUGAUGCUAUAAUAUGAUUUCAUAUAUAUGCUAUUAUAUAUGAAGCUUAUAAAUACACGGAUGAAUUAUACUAUUGUUUCUGUGACAUAUUUACACAUACAUUUAUAUAUUACAUCAUGAAUUGCAUACAUCUGAUUGAUUGAUUAAUUGUAUCAAAGUAUGCUAUUUACAAAAUAAAUCUAAUCAUUACUUUUGUGAAUUUAUGACCAUUAUUAUUGAUAUUCUAUAUAACGGCUAUAUAACGAGAAGACGAGAUGGGAAUAAAUAUUUAUU